CCUACGGGGGACAGCAGUGAGGAAUAGUGGUCAAUGGGCGCGAGCCUGAACCAGCCAAGUCGCGUGAGGGAGGACGGCCCUACGGGGUGUAAACCUCUUUUGCCGGGGAGCAACGGGCGGCACGUGUGGCGCCACGGAGAGGACCCGGAGAAAAAGCAGCGGCGAACUCCGUGCCAGCAGCCGCGGUAAUACGGAGGAUCCGAGCGUUAUCCGGAUUUAUGGGGUUGAACGGGAGCGUAGGGGGAUUGUUAAGUCAGUUGGGAAAGUUUGCGGCUCAACCGGAAAAUUGCAGUUGAAAAGGUCAGUCUUGAGUCCAGUAGCGGUGGGCGGAAUUCGUGGUGUAGCGGU
rnacentral:rRNA from 1 species